rnacentral:rRNA from 1 species
AUGCAUCCUCCGCCCGCCGCCGCCGCCGCCUCCGCAGCGGACUACGUCCCGGCGCCCGCUCCCUCGGAGCACGCGGCGUACCCGAGGCUCUCGCCGGAGGACCUGGCCCCGCCGCCCCCUCCCCCGUACCACGCCGCCGCGUCCUACUCCCCGCCGCCCGUCUCCGGCAACCCCUACGUCUCCGGCCCCGCCGCCGGCUCCGUGCCGCCCCCCAAGAGUGAGUCCCAAAUCUGUCCCAUCUUGCUUCCGAUUGCGGAAGGGUUCGCAUUGCCCCCCCCUUUUUUUAACCUGACGAUUUCGUGGCGCUGCCGUGUCUCUGCAGACACCAUGGACUCGGUGAAGGACGUGCUGGGGAAGAUGGGCAAGAGAUUCGGCGAGGCCGCCCGCAAGACGGAGAACACCGCCGGCAACUUCUGGCAGCACCUGAAAACUGGACCAAGUAUUGCUGAUGCAGCAAUGGGCAGGGUCUCCCAGAUCACCAAAGUCAUAGCAGAAGGUGGAUAUGAGAAAAUCUUCCAUCAAACGUUUGAUGUCCUCCCUGAAGAAAAACUCAAGAAGCCAUUCGCAUGUUAUCUGUCAACCUCUGCUGGUCCUGUUAUGGGUGUGCUCUACCUGUCCAAUGUAAAGUUGGCCUUCUGUAGUGAUAACCCACUUGCAUACAAGGUUGGGGACAAAAAUGAGUGGAGCUAUUACAAGGUUGCCAUCCCGCUAGCCCAGCUGAGGUCCGUUAAUCCUUCGACGAGCAGAACAAACGCAGCUGAGAAAUACAUCCAGGUGGUCUCGGUCGAUAAUCACGAGUUUUGGUUCAUGGGCUUUGUGUACUAUGACAGUGCUGUAAAGCACCUGCAGGAAGCACUCCAGGAGGCCCGUAUUUUGCAAGCUUAG